rnacentral:rRNA from 1 species
GACGAACGCUGGCGGCGUGCUUAACACAUGCAAGUCGAACGGAAAGGCCCUGCUUUUGUGGGGUGCUCGAGUGGCGAACGGGUGAGUAACACGUGAGUAACCUGCCCUUGACUUUGGGAUAACUUCAGGAAACUGGGGCUAAUACCGGAUAGGAGCUCCUGCUGCAUGGUGGGGGUUGGAAAGUUUCGGCGGUUGGGGAUGGACUCGCGGCUUAUCAGCUUGUUGGUGGGGUAGUGGCUUACCAAGGCUUUGACGGGUAGCCGGCCUGAGAGGGUGACCGGCCACAUUGGGACGGAGAUACGGCCCAGAGUCCUACGGGAGGCAGCAGUGGGGAAUAGUGCACAAUGGGCGGAAGCCUUAUGCAGCAACGCCGCGUGCGGGAUGACGGCCGUCGGGUUGUAAACCGCUUGCGCCUGUGACGAAGCGUGAGUGACGGUAAUGGGUAAAGAAGCACCGGCUAACUACGUG